rnacentral:lncRNA from 1 species
UUCAAAAGUAAAACAGCAUGAACGUCAACAGCAAAACUUCACUUUGCUUUUAGACAAGCAUUUUAACUUUCUCAUCACAAUCUGGUUGUGAAAUCAAUUCAGCGUGUGCAUAUAUGAGUUCACAACUUUCAAAAGUAACUAUUGUUGUCAGGAAGUCUGUCCCACCUGCAUGCUUGAGAUGUUUUGAUGUUUUGAUGUACCUGUCUGAAAGCACUUACAACUUACAAAAUAGGUACAUGUCUAAUAUUUUAU